GCUCUAUAGGUCUGGACCAAAAGAACUCCAGACAGCAAGCAGCUGAAUUCACCAAUGAUGAACAGUAGUCUUUCAAAAUCACAUAAAUUUUGGAGUACGUAAGAAGAACAAAAAUGAACAAGUGUUUCCAUUUGCCCCAAAAGGAAAAAGCCUCAAAAGGGAAGUGGAGAAAGCUUUGCAGGGGACUUGCUUGGGAUCCUGGAUCUUCUGGAGUUAAUAAGAUAGGGCAGAAUGAAUGGUUUGCAGCCAUUGUUGGGGGGAAAAAGACCUGAUGCCUGCUGUAUUCAAACAACUGUCUGUUGAAGAGAGCUGAACACCAAAGUUGGAGAACCACUGCUAUUGAUUGACUUUUCCUGCUUCUCUAUUUCCCCUUUGUCUUCUCUCUGCAAAUCCCCAGCACCUUUGUUGCUACCUGCUGGUGGCGAGAAGAGUCUUGGUGCUAGAGCUUUUGUAAACAUUAAUUUUAAAAUGGGAUAAGCUGCAUGUCUGUAAGUAGAACAAUUCCUGAAGUUAAAUACCAGACUUAUGAAGAAGCAAUAUUAUAGAUAAAGCAUAAAUUUUCUUCUCAAUUCCUAAUGACUUACCGUUUCAAAUCAAGACAUGCAGAGAUUUGAGGAGGACAGAAAACUUCUAAACACCUUCUCUUUUCAUUUGUGAUUACAUCUGAAAUUUAAAGUUGUGGUUCAAUUUUCAUUUUACUUUUUUCCUUAAUAAAAUACUUCUGAGGCAUGAGGUUGUUAGACAUAAACUUAUUUAGAUAAUUUUUUUGUUCUUUUGUGUAAACAUAGAAUUUGUUAUAUGAUUAUAUAUGUUAAUUAUAAAAAUUAAAUGUUAUUCAUAUUGAAAAUGAGAACUAAUCACUGUUGACAUUUUGUUUAAUAGAGUUAUUGUUCUUUCCCUCCUUCCCUCUCUUCUUCCCUUCCUCCCUCCCUUCCUUCCUUCCUUCCUUCCUUCCUUCCUUCCUUCCUUCCUUCUCUCAUUCCUUCCCCUUUAAAUAAUGCAAACUAUGAUCGUAAUAUACAUACUCUUAUGAUCUGUUUUUCGACUUGCCUGUGUAUAUUGGACAUUUUACCAUGUAAACACAUUCUCCCUCAAGAUUUCAUGGCUGCAUAGUUUAUUACUAAAUUCAUUGUAUCAUUUAUUAUUAGAAUUUAGUAAUAAUUCCUCUUGACAUGUUUGUUUUUUUAGAAUAAAUUUCUGCAAUUGAAAUUGA